GACGAACGCUGGCGGCGUGCCUAAUACAUGCAAGUUGAGCGCUGAAGGUUGGUACUUGUACCAACUGGAUGAGCAGUGAACGGGUGAGUAACGCGUGGGGAAUCUGCCUUUGAGCGGGGGACAACAUUUGGAAACGAAUGCUAAUACCGCAUAAAAACUUUAAACACAAGUUUUAAGUUUGAAAGAUGCAAUUGCAUCACUCAAAGAUGAUCCCGCGUUGUAUUAGCUAGUUGGUGAGGUAAAGGCUCACCAAGGCGAUGAUACAUAGCCGACCUGAGAGGGUGAUCGGCCACAUUGGGACUGAGACACGGCCCAAACUCCUACGGGAGGCAGCAGUAGGGAAUCUUCGGCAAUGGACGAAAGUCUGACCGAGCAACGCCGCGUGAGUGAAGAAGGUUUUCGGAUCGUAAAACUCUGUUGGUAGAGAAGAACGUUGGUGAGAGUGGAAAGCUCAUCAAGUGACGGUAACUACCCAGAAAGGGACGGCUAACUACGUG
rnacentral:rRNA from 1 species